rnacentral:rRNA from 1 species
GACGAACGCUGGCGGCGUGCUUAACACAUGCAAGUCGAGCGGUAAGGCCUUUCGGGGUACACGAGCGGCGAACGGGUGAGUAACACGUGGGUGAUCUGCCCUGCACUUCGGGAUAAGCCUGGGAAACUGGGUCUAAUACCGGAUAUGACCUCCUAUCGCAUGGUGGGUGGUGGAAAGAUUUAUCGGUGCAGGAUGGGCCCGCGGCCUAUCAGCUUGUUGGUGGGGUAAUGGCCUACCAAGGCGACGACGGGUAGCCGACCUGAGAGGGUGACCGGCCACACUGGGACUGAGACACGGCCCAGACUCCGACGGGAGGCAGCAGUGGGGAAUAUUGCACAAUGGGCGAAAGCCUGAUGCAGCGACGCCGCGUGAGGGAUGACGGCCUUCGGGUUGUAAACCUCUUUCAGCAGGGACGAAGCGCAAGUGACGGUACCUGCAGAAGAAGCACCGGCUAACUACGUG